rnacentral:rRNA from 1 species
UACGGAGGGGGCGAGCGUUAUUCGGAAUUAUUGGGCGUAAAGGGCGCGUAGGCGGCUUGAUAAGUCAAAGGUGAAAUCCCUCGGCUCAACUGAGGAACUGCCUUUGAUACUGUCAGGCUUGAGGCCGGGAGGGGGUAGCGGAAUUCCCAGUGUAGCGGUGAAAUGCGUAGAUAUCUGGAGGAACAUCGGUGGCGAAGGCGGCAUCCUGGACCGGUAUUGACGCUGAGGCGCGAAAGCCAGGGGAGCAAACGGG